rnacentral:rRNA from 1 species
GACGAACGCUGGCGGCGUGCCUAAUACAUGCAAGUAGAACGCUGAAGGAGGAGCUUGCUUCUCUGGAUGAGUUGCGAACGGGUGAGUAACGCGUAGGUAACCUGCCUCGUAGCGGGGGAUAACUAUUGGAAACGAUAGCUAAUACCGCAUAAUAGUAGAUGUUGCAUGACAUUUGCUUAAAAGGUGCAAUUGCAUCACUACCAGAUGGACCUGCGUUGUAUUAGCUAGUUGGUGGGGUAAUGGCUCACCAAGGCGACGAUACAUAGCCGACCUGGGAGGGGGGUCGGCCACACUGGGAAUGAGAAACGGCCCAGACUCCUACGGGGGGCAGCAGGAGGGAAUCUUCGGCAAUGGAGGGAAGUCUGAACGAGCAACGCCGCGGGAGUGAAGAAGGUUUUCGGAUCGUAAAGCUCUGUUGUAAGGGAAGAACGAGUGUGGGAGUGGAAAGUUCACACUGUGACGGUAUCUUACCAGAAAGGGACGGCUAACUACGUG